GUUAUUUCUCUUUAAAAACUUUACUUGUUUAGAAGUUAUUACGAAUCAAACAGGAGUACUUUUUUUUGGGCCACCCGGUAGAAAAAUUACUGUAAUACUUCAUCAAGAGUUUAUUUUAAGAGGAAAAAUUGGGGUUAUCUUUUAAUAAAGUCGUUGAGUAUUUUAAUUAAUAAAAAUUAUUGUAAAUAUAGAUGAUAGAUUUGAAUUAUCUUUGUUUAUUUGAACAUGUGUUAUUGCAGUGUAAUGUUUUACCAUGUUAUUGCAGUGUAAUGUUUUCAACCAACUCCUUCAGAUUCAUAAAUACAUUGUACAGCAUUGA